rnacentral:rRNA from 1 species
UUCCUACGGGUGGCUGCAGUAGGGAAUAUUGCUUAAUGGGCGAAAGCCUGAAGCAGCAACGCCGCGUGCGCGAUGAAGGCCUUCGGGUUGUAAAGCGCUUUUUGGGGGGAUGAGGAAGGACAGUACCCUCAGAAUAAGCCUCGGCUAACUACGUGCCAGCAGCCGCGGUAAAACGUAGGAGGCGAGCGUUAUCCGGAUUUACUGGGCGUAAAGCGCGUGCAGGUGGUUCGGAAAGUUGGAUGUGAAAGCUCCUGGCUUAACUAGGAGAGGUCGUUCAAUACUUCCGGGCUUGAGUGUGGGAGAGGGAGGUGGAAUUCCGGGUGUAGUGGUGAAAUGCGUAGAUAUCCGGAGGAACACCAGUGGCGAAAGCGGCCUCCUGGCCCGCUACUGACACUUAGACGCGAAAGCUAGGGUAGCAAACGUGAUUAGAUACCCUGGUAGUCUA